rnacentral:rRNA from 1 species
GACGAACGCUGGCGGCGUGCUUAACACAUGCAAGUCGAACGGAAAGGCCCCGUUGGGGGUCCUCGAGUGGCGAACGGGGGAGUAACACGUGAGUAACCUGCCCUUGACUUCGGGAUAACUUCAGGAAACUGGGGCUAAUACCGGAUAGGAAUCCUUGCUGCAUGGUGGGGGUGGGAAAGUUUCGGCGGUUUUGGAUGGACGCGCGGCUUAUCAGCUUGUUGGUGGGGUAGUGGCUUACCAAGGCUAUGACGGGGAGCCGGCCCGGGAGGGCGACCGGCCACAUUGGCACUGGGAUUCGGACCAGGCUCCUACGGGGGGCAGCAGUGGGGAAGAUUGCACUAUGGGCGGGGGCCUGAUGCAGACACGCCGCGGGCGGGAUGACGGCCUUCGGGUUGUAAACCGAUUUCAGCAGGGGCGGAGCUUGUGGUGACGGUACCUGCAGAAGAAGCACCGGCUAACUACGUG